ensembl:lncRNA
CCUGAACAUAUAAGGCAUGCCUAAAGUUUUCCCAAAUCGAGUUCCUGGAAUGAACACUUGGGCUCUUAGAGAGACUAUUCUAGAGGUGAAAAUGCUCAUUAAAAUUUAAAAGGAAACAACAAACUAUCAUUUAUUGUUUUCUGGCCUCAUUUCUAUCCAGGCUUACACAUGCACUCUGUUUCCAGGAAGAAUUGUUCAAGGGAAAGAAGGCAAUCUAUAAAGAAGAAAAUAAAGAGCUGAUGGCGGAAAACAGCAAGAGGAUGAAGAGGAGAUAAAGGAUGAAGGAUGGAGAGGGAGGAGGAGGAGGAAGCGAGCUUUCGAAUGUUUGGAAUGGAUGUUGACUGACUAGCAGAGCUUUGGGCUGCAUGAAUUUCUCGUAGUUGCAUCCCCAAGAUCGGCCAAAGGAGUUCUGUGGCAUGGCAAGGUGUGGCGAAGAGCCUGUGACAGGGAAUGCUGUUUCCAUUGGCCAGGGGCCCUGGCAGGGCUCCCCAAGGCAAUUUUCCAGCCCUAUAUUCGGUGGAGAACCUGAAAGGCUGCUGUUGCCAAUUGAGCCCUGCCGGACUGGGGGAGGGUGGCUCCAAAUCUUCCAGCCAUUGGCUCUCAAACCUCUGGAGUGCAAGGAUCCUUUGAAAGGGAGAAGAAAGAAGACACAAUUAAGAACAGAAUUCAAAACAACAGAAAUCUCAUUCGGUGCAAAUCGCCUCUACUUGCAGAUAAGUACUCUGAAAGAGCUGUCUGUAAAGCAAGUCCCAUUCUGAGCAGGCCUGAAGCCAGGCACAGUUUGGCUAUAGAUCUAGGAAAGUUUAGAAUUUCCCUGCAAUAAGCCAGCAUGCGCUCCCUGCUCAGUACAUCUAACAAACACACCUCCUCCUGGUGCUGACCAUAUCUCACCUAAAAGGUGGUGUCUGGCACCUUUUUCAACCCUGACAAUGGUCUCCUGAGCCUGGCAGGGCUCCUCCAGGUUCUCAGGUGAAUAGGGCUUCAGUCCCAACUCUAAAGUUGACCCACAGGCAUUGAUUGCUGGGGGCAGGUUAGAAAGGGACCAACUGCAGCUCCCACCCUGAGAUUUCUGAGUUAUAACUCCCAGGAAUCGUUUCCAUUUUGCAAAGACAUUUAUGGAAGGGGGUCAGGUAUGCUAAAAAACACAUGGGAAUCUCUGUAACAAAUUACAAUCAGCCCGAGUGCGGUGAUUCUGCAUCUGUGGCUUUAACUAUGGACAGCUGUCUGAAAAUAUCCAGAAAAAUAUAAUGGAUCAAGCAUAUGCAAGCUUUUUAUUUCUUGGCAUCAUUCCCUGAACAAUACAGUAGAACAACUAUCUGCACAGAGUUUACAUUAGGUCUUUUAAGUAAUGGAGCCAUGAUUAAAGCAUACAGGAUUGUGUGCACAGGCUGUACGCAAAUAUUGUACCAUGUUAGAGUCGGUACUAGAGCAUGGGUAGAGUUUUGGUAGCAGCUCUAAGCUCUGACCUGCUGAUAGUUGCUGUUUCCCACACUUCUAUUUUCUUUACCUUCGAGUUUCUUGUCAUGGAAAAUUUUUCUUUUUUUUAAAAAAAGUAUCUGAUCAAAUAAAUAUAUUACUUUCACCAUAUUUACUGUGGAUUUUUCAUCAUAAGAUUCUUAUGUUAUAGAGUAGAGAUGAAUUUCAAAGGAAGGGAGAGAGAGAGAGAGAGAGAGAGAGAGAGAGAGAGAGAGAGAGAGAGAGAGAGGUGAGAGGAACCCCAGAGCCCUAGGAUUGAAGCAAAAAGAAGGGCUGCCUGCAAGGACACUUGAGGAAGGCUCCAUUGGUGGUGAUCUAAUCAUGGGCUGCCCACCUGGGGGGAGAGUGGAGGUUGAGCUGGGGCAGGUGUUGAGCUUCAGGGUACCUAAGCCUCUGUUAACUCUGUGGAGCAGAGUAGUGCUGUCACACCAGAGUGUCCAGCCAGGCUGUACUCUCUUCUCAGACCAGGAGGAAAAGAAGGAAGGGGACCCUGUUCCCCGAGCUAAGUCCUAUCUACAUGGGUCUGAUUUAGAAUGGGGGAAAAAUGAUUCCAGGUCAGAAACCACUGAGGUGUGCCCUUGAACUGACUUCAACUUUGGAAAGGAGAGCCAGCCCCACGUUACAGAAUCUGACCGAGAUAGUAUCGAUGGAGGCAUGACCCAGCUGGAGCCAAGAUUCCAUCCUAGUAAUUUAGGGUGGUGAUUGGAAAGGUCAAAGCCAUUGGCUUGUGUUCUGAUAGAUAUCAUGGCCAAAACCUUAUGGAGCAAUGGAAGAUCGAAGAGGUUCAAUGGCUUUCCCAAGUUCCCCUUCUGCUAAAGGUAUGACUAGAGUGGCAGAGCAGCUGUUGGCUGCUUCCAAACUCACGCUGAUGCUACUCCUGUGUCUUUUUAAGAUGUGGCUUUGGCUGGCACAGUGGAACUGUCCGAAGGCAUGUUUCCCUUUCAACAGUCCUCUUUUGGAUAUUAAGGUUAAGCAUACAAUCCUAUGGGUUAGUGGAAAAGAGGGACCAAGCGCUUGGGAAAAACUGCCCAGAUGGAGAGCAGGCUUCCACCGGAGGCUUGAAAAAGCAAUGCAGAGUACUUUGCCUCUGGAGGACAAAAGGGAUAUUAAAAACAAUUCCCUAGUGGUUCCACAAUCCAAAACUCGAGAUUGAAAUCAUUUGCUUGACAGCUAAUUAAUUUAGAAGAAUCAGUCACUAAUACCUGAGGCAAAUAUCCCUCGGGCAAGUACAUAUAUUCACAUCUGGAAACAUAAUAGGACUAAUCUCUGAGAGUCUGGCCGCCAAAAGGAAUGCUGGGGUUAAAAGGGUUGUAGCCAUAGCGGUAGAACAAACAUCUGGAACAAAGUGUGGUGCCCUUGGCUGAGACGGAGUCACCAACUCAGACGAGGGAAAGCCAGAGGUGUUUGUGUAUAACUCAGCCUGUUUCUCCAAAGGUCUCUUAUGCUCUGCUGAUAGUCAUAGUAUCUCAGUCAUUAAAGCCAGCAACGAUUGUCUGAGUGCCCCACCCCACCCCCACCCCCAGCAUUGAGAACUGAGGGAGAAGCAAGCAAGCAAAACCAACAACAGCCAGACAAAAACCCUCAGUGGCUAUGCAGUAAAUGACACAAAAAGCCCUCCAUCCAAAGCAUGGUACACUUGUCAAGAUGGGAGUUAGGAGAUGAGCUUGGUGUAGUGGGCCACACCUGUAAGCCCAGCAUUUGGAGAGGGUGACAGAGAGAUUGUGAGUUCAAGACCAGCCUCAGCUGUAUAAUGA